GUGCUUGCACCUGAUUGACGAUGGAUCACUAGUGAGUGGCGGACGGGUGAGUAACACGUAGGUAACCUGCCCCGGAGCGGGGGAUAACAUUUGGAAACAGAUGCUAAUACCGCAUAACAACAAAAGCCACAUGGCUUUUGUUUGAAAGAUGGCUUUAGCUAUCACUCUGGGAUGGACCUGCGGUGCAUUAGCUAGUUGGUAAGGUAACGGCUUACCAAGGCGAUGAUGCAUAGCCGAGUUGAGAGACUGAUCGGCCACAAUGGAACUGAGACACGGUCCAUACUCCUACGGGAGGCAGCAGUAGGGAAUCUUCCACAAUGGGCGCAAGCCUGAUGGAGCAACACCGCGUGAGUGAAGAAGGGUUUCGGCUCGUAAAGCUCUGUUGUUGGAGAAGAACGUGCGUGAGAGUAACUGUUCACGCAGUGACGGUAUCCAACCAGAAAGUCACGGCUAACUACGUGCCAGCAGCCGCGGUAAUACGUAGGUGGCAAGCGUUAUCCGGAUUUAUUGGGCGUAAAGCGAGCGCAGGCGGUUGCUUAGGUCUGAUGUGAAAGCCUUCGGCUUAACCGAAGAAGUGCAUCGGAAACCGGGUAACUUGAGUGCAGAAGAGGACAGUGGAACUCCAUGUGUAGCGGUGGAAUGCGUAGAUAUAUGGAAGAACACCAGUGGCGAAGGCGGCUGUCUGGUCUGCAACUGACGCUGAGGCUCGAAAGCAUGGGUAGCGAACAGGAUUAGAUACCCUGGUAGUCCAUGCCGUAAACGAUGAGUGCUAGGUGUUGGAGGGUUUCCCGCCCUUCAGUGCC
rnacentral:rRNA from 1 species